rnacentral:rRNA from 1 species
AGGGGCAGCAUGGUCUUAGCUUGCUGAGUUUGAUGGCGACCGGCGCACGGGUGAGUAACACGUAUCCAACCUGCCGAUGACUCGGGGAUAGCCUUUCGAAAGAAAGAUUAAUACCGGAUGGCAUAGUCUUCCCGCAUGGGAUGAUUAUUAAAGAAUUUCGGUUGUCGAUGGGGAUGCGUUCCAUUAGAUAGUAGGCGGGGUAACGGCCCACCUAGUCUUCGAUGGAUAGGGGUUCUGAGAGGAAGGUCCCCACAUUGGAACUGAGACACGGUCCAAACUCC